GUCUGGGUAGUGUAGAGGUAUAAGCACUUGCCUACCACCGCAGAGACCCGGGUUCAAUCCCCGGGUCAGACG
rnacentral:tRNA from 1 species